CACGGAGGUGGCAAGCGUUGCUCGGAAUCACUGGGCGUAAAGGGCGCGUAGGCGGGGAGGUAAGUCGGGUGUGAAAUCCCUCGGCCCAACCGAGGAACUGCGCCCGAGACUGCUUCUCUUGAGUCCCGGAGAGGAAGAUGGAAUUCCCGGUGUAGCGGUGAAAUGUGUAGAGAUCGGGAGGAACACCGGUGGCGAAGGCGGUCUUCUGGACGGUGACUGACGCUGAGGCGCGAAAGCGUGGGGAGCAAACGGG
rnacentral:rRNA from 1 species